rnacentral:rRNA from 1 species
UACAGAGGUCCCGAGCGUUGUUCGGAUUCACUGGGCGUAAAGGGCGCGUAGGCGGCUUUGCAAGUGACGGGUGAAAUCCCUCGGCUUAACCGAGGAACUGCCUGUCAAACUGCAUGGCUUGAGACCAGGAGAGGUGAGUGGAAUUCCCAGUGUAGCGGUGAAAUGCGUAGAUAUUGGGAGGAACACCAGUGGCGAAGGCGGCUCACUGGACUGGUACUGACGCUGAUGCGCGAAAGCGUGGGGAGCAAACAGG